ACUAUUUUGACAGAUAAGUGUAUUAGAUUUAGAAUCUAAAAAUGGGGAUAUGUUACCUCAGAUAGUA
rnacentral:tRNA from 1 species